rnacentral:lncRNA from 1 species
GGUUUGUUGUUGGUCGUAGAACAGCAGACGACGAAGUUCAAAGCGGCAUUGUACCAUCGGGCAGAAUCCAAACGGUUGAUGCAUUGAAAAUGUCGGAGCUCUGUUGAUGAAUUUUCACCAGCACUCUUCCACAAGACGCGCGCGAAGCAAACGAUAGCAAAGGAGAUAUGGACUUGAAUUGGUUGUUUACCACCCGUGGCUUUCCCGCAUCCCAGGAUUAGUCUUGUACACCUUUUGCACUUGUACAGAGCGUUCGGGAACGAAAUUAGUUGUGGAUGGGUUUGCUGUUGACAAGCAAGGGAAGGAUUUUUACCAAACUAGAUAGGAAUGAAAUUUGUUGUGGCUGGUUUGGUUGUUGACAAGCAAGGGAAGGAUUUUUUUUACCAAAGUAGACAGGAUAUUUAUUCUUAAUCCCACAAUGUCUUGACUACAAAUCAUGCUGAAUUGGAAUAGUAUGUUAAUCGAGGCUGGGUGCCAAAGCAAUGGAUGAUAAUUGAUUGGACUCUAAACACUGCUGAGAUGGCCACUGAUGUGCAGUUCUUGUACUGCGUUCCCGGAUUGCCUUUGAAUUAUUGCCGAUGACAUCUCAAUUCUGUAGUUGGUAGAUAUCUGUUGAACAUAGUUGAAACUCAUAUUUACCAGAGUUUUGUUU